rnacentral:rRNA from 1 species
GCGUGGGAAUCUGCCCUCAGGUACGGAAUAACUCAGGGAAACUUGAGCUAAUACCGUAUAAUGACUUCGGUCCAAAGAUUUAUCGCCUGAGGAUGAGCCCGCGUCGGAUUAGCUAGUUGGUGGGGUAAAGGCCUACCAAGGCUACGAUCCGUAGCUGGUCUGAGAGGAUGAUCAGCCACACUGGGACUGAGACACGGCCCAGACUCCUACGGGAGGCAGCAGUGGGGAAUAUUGGACAAUGGGCGAAAGCCUGAUCCAGCAAUGCCGCGUGAGUGAUGAAGGCCUUAGGGUUGUAAAGCUCUUUUACCCGGGAUGAUAAUGACAGUACCGGGAGAAUAAGCCCCGGCUAACUCCGUGCCAGCAGCCGCGGUAAUACGGAGGGGGCUAGCGUUGUUCGGAAUUACUGGGCGUAAAGCGCACGUAGGCGGCUUUGUAAGUUAGAGGUGAAAGCCCGGGGCUCAACUCCGGAAUUGCCUUUAAGACUGCAUCGCUAGAAUUGUGGAGAGGUAAGUGGAAUUCCGAGUGUAGAGGUGAAAUUCGUAGAUAUUCGGGAGAACACCAGUGGCGAAGGCGACUUACUGGA